AUCACUUCUCAGCCUUUGGGCUAAGAUCAAGUGUAGUACAUUAUGGGGUGUUCACACAUUACAUUCAACAAGUGGACAAUCUAU